rnacentral:rRNA from 1 species
GAUGAACGCUAGCGGCAGGCCUAAUACAUGCAAGUCGAACGGUGUCUUCGGACAUAGUGGCGCACGGGUGCGUAACACGUAUGCAACCUACCUUACAUUGGGGGAUAGCCUUUCGAGAGGGAGAUUAAUACCGCAUAAGACAGUAACUAGGCAUCUAGUAGCUGUUAAAGAUUUAUCGAUGUAAGCUGGGCAUGCGUCCAAUUAGCUAGUUGGUGAGGUAACGGCUCACCAAGGCAAUGAUUGGUAGGGGAACUGAGAGGUCAAUCCCCCACACUGGCACUGAGAUACGGGCCAGACUCCUACGGGAGGCAGCAGUAGGGAAUAUUGGGCAAUGGACGCAAGUCUGACCCAGCCAUGCCGCGGGCAGGAUGAAGGUGUUAUGCGUUGUAAACUGCUUUUACACAGGAAGAAACGACUCUUGCGAGAGGCAUUGACGGUACUGUAUGAAUAAGCACCGGCUAACUCCGUACCAGCCGCCGCCGUAAGAC